rnacentral:misc_RNA from 1 species
GUAGGUGAACCUGCGGAAGGAUCAUUAAAAGAGAGCCCGGGGUGCCUUUUUUGGCCCCCAGACCUCCCACCCUUUGUGAACGUACCUUGAGUUGCUUUGGCGGGGCGUGGCCAGAAAUGGUCCCGCUGGUCCCCUUCGCCCGGGGCUAGCGUGCCCCCGCCAGAGGAUCAUAAGAAUCUUGCUUUAAAAACCGUGUCUGAAGAAA